rnacentral:rRNA from 1 species
UACAGAGGUGGCAAGCGUUGUUCGGAAUUACUGGGCGUAAAGGGCGCGUAGGCGGCCUUCUAAGUCGGACGUGAAAGCCCCAGGCUUAACCUGGGAACUGCGUCCGAUACUGGGAGGCUUGGAUUCGGGAGAGGGAUGUGGAAUUCCAGGUGUAGCGGUGAAAUGCGUAGAUAUCUGGAGGAACACCGGUGGCGAAGGCGGCAUCCUGGACCGAGAUUGACGCUGAGGCGCGAAAGCCAGGGGAGCAAACGGG